AUAAAGAUAAUUAAUAUUUAAUUUAUAUUUAUCCAAUAUAUUAAUGGACUGACCAGUUAAAACAGCGCUGAAACUGUUAAACAUGUGAAAUGUGGACAGAAAUUAUAUGAACUGGUAAACUUGUAAAACAAUUUUAAAAUCAAAAUUAAAUAAUGAAGGAAAAAAAAAAGUUUCCCUUUGCUAUCAUGCUAUCACAUCAUGAAAUGAUGUCUCAAAGUAGCUCACAAUUGAAAAAUAACUAAACAAAUAAAUAAAUAAAAGAAAAAGAAAAAAGCAGGCCGCACUAAUAAUUAUUCUCGUGACCCAACAGAAUAAAGAAAAUUCACCCAUUAAAGUUGCUUUCUAAAAAAUUCAUUCAAAGUAGGGAAAAAA
rnacentral:misc_RNA from 1 species